ensembl:misc_RNA
CCCUCCAGCAGGCUGUGUUUGCAGACUACAUGGAGCCUCACGUGGGGAUUCUCUGAGCCCUGUGGAUUUACAGUAAGAUGCAGUUGCCUAGGGAG